CCCUUAGAUGUUCUGGGCCGCACGCGCGCUACACUGACGAAUGCAACGAGCUUAUAACCUUGGCCGAAAGGUCUGGGUAAUCUCCAAAUUUCGUCGUGAUGGGGAUAGAUUAUUGCAAUUAUUAAUCUUCAACGAGGAAUGCCUAGUAAGCGCAAGCCAUCAGCUUGCGUUGAUUACGUCCCUGCCCUUUGUACACACCGCCCGUCGCUCCUACCGAUUGAAUGGUCCGGUGAAGCGUUCGGACCGUGGCCUUUGGACGGUUCGCCGUCUGUUGGCUGCGGGAAGUUCGUUAAACCUUAUCAUUUAGAGGAAGGAGAANUCGUANCA
rnacentral:rRNA from 1 species